rnacentral:rRNA from 1 species
ACUAUUAGAAUACAUGAUUCCCCUAGUAACGGCGAGUGAAGAGGGAAAGGCUCAAAUUUAAAAUCCCUUUACGGGGAGUUGUAAUUUAUAGAAUGUUUUGUUAAUUAAUUAAUAGUUAAAGUCUGCUGGAAAGCAGCACUAUAAAGGGUGAAAGUCCUGUUCUAUUAUUAAAUUAAUUUAUAUACAUACAUUUCUAAGAGUCAGAUUGUUUGGGAAUGCAGUCUAAAUUUGGUGGUAAACUCCAUCUAAAGCUAAAUAUUGAUUAGUGACCGAUAGCAUACAAGUACCGUGAGGGAAAGAUGAAAAGAACCUUGAAAAGGGGGUUAAAAGUACGUGAAAUUGUUAUUAGGAAAGCAUUUGCCUAUACUGUGGACUUUAAAAGUUUCGGCUUUUUUAGUUAGUCAUGAUCAGUUAAAACUUUUAAAUAAAGUAAUUAAAAAGGUAGUUGGGUAAACUAACACUUAUAGUUUAAUUAAUAAUUUAAAGGAUUUGACUGAGGAAUGCUUUAAGAUGUUAAGAUGGAGUUUUAUUAAAGUUAGUUUAUUAAGUCAAUUUAUUGAUUAAUGAAAUAAAUUUAAUAAAUUCUUUAGCUUUACUUUUAAACAGGAUCAUGAUUAAGUAGAAUCAAAUGACCCGUCUUGAAACACGGACCAAGGAGUCUAACAUAGUUGCGAGUCAUUGAGUGAAAAACUUAAAGGCGCAAUGAAAGUGAACAGAUAGGAUAAUUAUUGCACUAUCGACCUAACCGGAUGAUUCUUCUGAAAGUUUAGAGUAAGAGCAGUUAUGUUGGGACCCGAAAGAUGGUGAGCUAUGCUUGAAUAGGGUAAAGUCAGAGGAAACUCUGAUGGAGGCUCGUAGCGAUUCUGACGUGCAAAUCGAUCGUCGAAUUGAGCAUAGGGCGAAAGACUAAUCGAUCCAUCUAUGCCA